AUUGAACGCUGGCGGCAGGCCUAACACAUGCAAGUCGAGCGGAUGAAGGGAGCUUGCUCCUGGCUUCAGCGGCGGACGGGUGAGUAAUGCCUAGGAAUCUACCUGGUAGUGGGGGAUAACGUCAGGACACGGGCGCUAAUCCCGCAUCCGUCCUGAGGGAGAAAGUGGGGGAUCUUCGGACCUCACGCUAUCAGAUGAGCCUAGGUCGGAUUAGCUAGUUGGUGGGGUAAAGGCCUACCAAGGCGACGAUCCGUAACUGGUCUGAGAGGAUGAUCAGUCACACUGGAACUGAGACACGGUCCAGACUCCUACGGGAGGCAGCAGUGGGGAAUAUUGGACAAUGGGCGAAAGCCUGACCCAGCCACGCCGCGUGUGUGAAGAAGGUCUUCGGAUCGUAAAGCACUUUUAGUUGGGAGGAACGGCAGUAAGUUAAUACCUUGCUGUUUUGACGGUACCAACAGAAUAAGCACCGGCUAACUUCGUG
rnacentral:rRNA from 1 species